ACCGUCCUCUCCAGUAGACUGAUAGGAUCCCUGCUCCAGUUCCUCAGGAGGACUCUGUCCUCAACCUUCAGCCACGUGGGAGCCGCACUGAGAUACGUCUGGGACAGGAUCAGCUCUCAGGAGUCUAAAGAAGCCAUCCUGGGCUGAGUGCUGUGUCUCCUUAACAUGCACAAGAAGGUGGAUCAGCCAGCAGCUGACUCUCACUGAGUCACUCUCUUGGCUUUCCUCUUCAGAAAGAAAGAGAGAGAGGACGAGAGAGAACAAGAACAAGAAAAAGAGAGAGAGAGAGAGGGGGGAGAGAGAGAGAGAGAGAGAGAGAGAGAGAGAGAGAGAGAGAGAGAGAGAGAGGAAGAGAGAGAGAGGAAGAGAGGGAGAUUUCUCUGGUGAGCUCUUUCUUCUCUUUUCUUUCACCCCUUGUUUAGUGUGAGAGAGAGAGAACAAGAGAAGAAGGGAGGUUUCAAAACUUGAAUAGCUUUAAUUUGGACUGUAGUAUUUCUCUUAGCAGAGUCGAGCUGCCUGAUUCAGGUGAACGAGACUGUAUUUCUCUGUGUGGACCGUAUAGUACCGCUGGGCUAACCAUGUCAGAGAGCAUCGUUAGGAAGAUACAACCCUUCACCAUCGGAACCAGGCUCUCCGUCUCUGGACCUGCCACCAGGUCUAAAGGUCCAAACUUCCCCCAGAGGCCGUCCUGGCAGAGCGACCGGGUCUCCCUCUACCUCAGCCAGGUGCAGGUGAGUGUGGCUGCUCCUUAUCUAGCUCCCCUUGCUAACCGGACCACCCCAACAUCUGUACCUGUUAAACAGCAGCAGGAGGGCAUAUCUACCCAGGACCACCGGAACCAGAAUACCAUGUCUGUGUCUCCCAACUCCCACCGGAGCUCUGUCUCUCCUACCGCCACAUCCAGAUCCAUCAGCAAGAUCACCAUCUCUGGGAGCCCAGAGGACAGCUCCUGGAGGAGACAGGAGGAGUCAGACCACAGGGUGGUUAUUGAGAAGGAGGACAGCUCCUGGAGGAGACAGGAGGAGUCAGACCACAGGGUGGUCAUUGAGAAGGAGGACAGCUCCUGGAGGAGACAGGAGGAGUCAGACCACAGGGUGGUCAGUAUAGGACUAGGACCGGGACGACCCCCUGUCACAGGAACUCCCGGAUCAGAAAACAUCAACAACAACAACAACAACAACAACAUCAGCAGCUCCAAGCAACAGCUGUCCAGAAUAGUGGGAGUCAGCUGUGAGAACCAACCCAGCUCACAUAUUAAGCAGGGUAGAGGGUUAAUCAGAGCCCAGCACCCCGGCAACUCUAAGAUCCAGGACUUCUUGAUUCGGCUGGAGGAGUUAUGGGAGGAGCUAAGGAGACGACAUCACAGGAACCAGUUCUACCUGCAGGCAGGGGAGGAGAUGAGCUUUAGGACAGUGCAUCUCCUCCAGGCCUUGGGUAGUAUAGAAGCUUGGUUGGAGGCAGCAGAGCUGUCCAUGUCGAACUCCCAGCUGGCAGGAGACCCAGAGACCAUGAGGCUGGCUGUGAGAGACAGCUGCCUGCUCCAGACAGAGAUAUCCUGCCGGGGAAUGGAGCUAACAGCACUCAGACAGGAGAUGGACAGGCUGGGUGGUCAGCGGGAGGGUCAGUGCCCAGGAUACCCCAACACUGAGGGCCUCCAGGUGCCACAACACCACACACAGGUCCUCCCAGAUCUUAUGGACCAGGUGGAGAGAAAGUACCAACGUGUCCAGACCGCGUUGACCCAGCAGAGUUCGUCGCUGCAGGACACCAGGAUGCUGACAGAGUUUCUGGAGCGGGUGGAGCUAGAGGAGAGGGUGGAGCUAGAGGAGACCCAGAAGGCCAGGGGUAGGGGCUACAGCAGUAACCUUGGACAGCCUCUCCACGGUGAGAUCAGCUCAGCUCUUACCCUGCUGGGUGAUGGGGGUGGAAGCGGUGGUGGGGAGCCCCUGAUGGAGCCGCUGGGAAACCCUGUAGAGGAGCUGCAGGAGGCAGUGGAGAUGUUGAAUGACACGGUCAGAGAGAGAGGACGAUCACAGAAUCACAUCCAUGAGCAAGCCAUCCAGACUAUGGUCCGACAGCUGGCUUUGCUGUCAGUGCGUGUGGAGGACAGUCUGUGCUGCAGUAGAGAGCUGAACCAGGAACUCCUACAGAGAGAGAAAGACAUGGCCAUGCGCUGUGAACCAGAACAAUGUGGACUAGAGGGACUGAAGGAACAGCAAGACCACCUAGAGGUGAAUUAUGCUGUGCUGAAGGAAGAGGUGGAGGAGCUCCAGAGACAGACUGGUUAUCUAGAGGAGCUAUGCCCAGAGAGAGUGACCUUCCUGGCGGUGGAGGUGCAGGGAGCCCUGGGGGUAUGGAGGGAAUUAAGGAGGAACGUAGAGGGGAACAGAGACCGAUUACGACAGUUUGUUCACCUGCAGGACUUCUUCAGGACCUACCUGGCCAUGAUAUCGUGGAUGGAGGACACCCGGGAGUGUAUUUUCUCUGAGAGAGUGUUGCAUUGUGGGAGGGACGACCAGGAGCCAAUGGCUGCGGAGAUGGAGAUGGACGUCCAGAUAGACAGGAAGUUGGAGGAGUUGGAGGAGCUGGAUGCUGCAGGGAGGAACCUGCUGAACGCUGAGCACCACCUGGCCAACAUGGACAACAACAUGACAUCAGCUCCUGCAUACGAGAGUAUGUUACUGCCCCGCCUCCACACCAAGACCUCCUCCUCUUCAUCCCCCUCCUCCUCCAGGGCUCCUCAAUCUUGCGUCUCUUUCCCCUCCUCCCUGCCCAAGAACACCUCCAUCUUUUCUAGUCUAAAGAUAAGGAGCAAGAAGAGGAGAAGGAAGAGAGACGCUGGCCGCCACACCAUUCAGAAAAUCAUGGUUGUAGAGGGGGAGGAGCAGACAGAGGUGGCAUGUCCUGCUGAAGCUGCACCCCAGCAAAUCACGCUGUACGACACCCAGACCUGGCCAAUGAAGGAGGGCCGGAGGAAGAAGAAGAGCCUAUUAAAGGCCGACGGGGUGGGCCCAGGGCAGGGGGUGGAACUCGUGGACUACAUGGAUAACCCAUUGGCCAGGGAUAUUGAAGAUGAAUGUUCUGGGGUGUCCACUGUCAGCCCCUAUGCAGUGACAGAGGCAGUCUCUAUAGCUCCACCCAGGGGCCAGGUGAGGAGCCACUGCAGGUUCCUGUCUCUGGGGUCUGUUUUGACCUUCGACCUCUCCAAAGACAUGAGGUUGAUCCCCAGUAUACAGGAUGUCAUCACUAUAGGACUCCCAGAACACAGGGGAACCUCCAACCCAAACCUCAAUCCCAACCCUCACACAGAGACACAUGCAGCCCUCAGCUCUUUCAAACAUACCCGC
ensembl:lncRNA